rnacentral:rRNA from 1 species
CAGCCUCCGCGGGAAUACGAAGGGGGCUAGCGUUGUUCGGAAUUACUGGGCGUAAGGCGCACGUAGGCGGAUAUUUAAGUCAGGGGUGAAAUCCCGCAGCUCAACUGCGGAACUGCCUUUGAUACUGGGUAUCUUGAGUAUGGAAGAGGUUAGUGGAAUUGCGAGUGUAGAGGUGAAAUUCGUAGAUAUUCGCAGGAACACCAGUGGCGAAGGCGGCUAACUGGUCCAUAACUGACGCUGAGGUGCGAAAGCGUGGGGAGCAAACAGGAUUAGAUACCCCAGUAGUCCCUGUCUCUUAUAU